GUAUAUUGAAUUUGAGAAGCGCAUAAGACCAGAGGUUAUCGCAGCAAAUGAGAUAGGUUCAUUAGAUGAAACCAAAGAAUCACUUCAAGAGUCCUGCUUCCUCUUUGGACCACCUGGUACCGGGAAAACGAUGAUUGCAAAAGCCAUUGCAAACGAAGCUGGAGCUAGUUUUAUAAACGUGUCCAUGUUCACAAUCACUUCAAAAUGGUUUGGAGAAGAUGAGAAGAAUGUGAGAGCUUUGUUCACCUUAGCAGCCAAAGUGUCUGCAACUAUUAUAUUUGUGGAUGAAGUGGAUAGCAUGUUGGGGCAGAGGACAAGAGUUGGAGAGCAUGAAGCUAUGAGUAAGAUUAAAAACGAGUUCAUGACACAUUGGGAUGGGCUUAUGUCGAAUUAAGGUGAUCGGAUUCUUGUUCUUGCAGCAACAAAUAGGCCGAUAUAGAUGAAGCCAUCAUUAGGAGGUCUGAGAGAACAAUCAUGGUUGGUCUUCCACCGGUUGAGAGCGGAGAGAAGAUCUUGAGAACUUUAUUUUCAAAAGAGCAAACAGAGAACCUUGAUUCUUGCGCAGAUGACAGAUGGUUAUAGUGGAAGUGAUCUAAAGAACUUUUGUACAACAGCUGCAUAUCGACCGGUGAGGGAGCUGAUAAAGCAUUGAGUGCUUGAAAAGGAGAGGAAGCAGAGAAGAGUAGUGAAGAGGGGUUUGAAGCAAAAGAAGAAGCAACAGAGGAGAGUCAUAACGUUGAGAGCUCUGAGCAUGGAAGACAUGAGAAUAGCUAAAAGCCAGGUUGCUGCUAGUUCUGCAGGAGCAGGGAUGAAUGAACUGAAGCAGUAAGGAGGCUCCAGGAAGAAGGAACAGCUUUUUC